UGCAGAUGAUGUAAAAGAAUAUUUGCUAUCUGAAAGAUGGUGAUGCCAUAUAAACCACCAAGAUCUCUGAUGCA